CAGGUUUGGGAAACUUACCCAAAUUGGUCCUAGGUGGUCCCUAGUUACCCACGCAGGAGAUGACGUCAGUUAUUUCCACCCGUUUCCAAGUUAUUAAGCCUUAAAUUUAAAAGUGCAAUGCAAUGGCUUCACUAAUCUUAAUAUACUUUCCUUUGACGUCAAUAUUGCUUUAACGUCAAAGUUUGCUAAUUUAAAGAACAAAUUUAUAGGCGAUGUUUUAUAGACUUUAUCAAAGAAAUUUUAUCCACUUUGCAAAAGUGACAGACAGACACACUUAGCGUAUUAUUAUAAGAGACUAGUGUAUAAACCCCGUGGAUAAAUCCACUUAGGCAAAAGGACAAUGGCAAAAUAGGUUCUUUUAGAUGUUUUUCUGACGUCAGCAGUGCAUAUACAAAAAAAUGUUCUUAAAAUCUUACACAAAAUGUCAAAUAUCAAAUCGCAUUAAAUCCUCCACACAAAUCUUACACAAAAUAAAAAAGAA